CAUAGCGUAAUGAAGCGAACCGGGGGAACUGAAACAUCUAAGUACCCCGAGGAAAAGAAAUCAACCGAGAUUCCCCCAGUAGCGGCGAGCGAACGGGGAGCAGCCCAGAGUCUGAAUCAGCUUGUGUGUUAGUGGAACGGUCUGGAAAGUCCGACGGUACAGGGUGAUAGUCCCGUACACCAAAAUGCACAGGUUGUGAACUCGAAGAGUAGGGCGGGACACGUGGUAUCCUGUCUGAAUAUGGGGGGACCAUCCUCCAAGGCUAAAUACUCCUGACUGACCGAUAGUGAACCAGUACCGUGAGGGAAAGGCGAAAAGAACCCCGGCGAGGGGAGUGAAAAAGAACCUGAAACCGUGUACGUACAAGCAGUGGGAGCCUCUUUAUGGGGUGACUGCGUACCUUUUGUAUAAUGGGUCAGCGACUUAUAUUCUGUAGCAAGGUUAACCGUAUAGGGGAGCCGAAGGGAAACCGAGUCUUAACUGGGCGUUAAGUUGCAGGGUAUAGACCCGAAACCCGGUGAUCUAGCCAUGGGCAGGUUGAAGGUUGGGUAACACUAACUGGAGGACCGAACCGACUAAUGUUGAAAAAUUAGCGGAUGACUUGUGGCUGGGGGUGAAAGGCCAAUCAAACCGGGAGAUAGCUGGUUCUCCCCGAAAGCU
rnacentral:rRNA from 1 species